rnacentral:rRNA from 1 species
CACCGCGGUUACACGUACAGCCCAAGUUGACAUACCAACGGCGUAAAAGUGGGUAGUAAAAAUAAAUAACUAAAGAUAAACAUCUUCCAAAUUGUUAAACUUGAUCGAAGACAGGAAACACCCCCAAGAAAGUGACUUUAAAUAAUAUGACCCCACCAAAGCUAGGGAA